GUCCCUUGGCGGGCGGGGAGACUGAAGCUCGGCGAGGGGGACAUCGCCCGGGCGGGAACCCGAGCCCUGCAGCGCGCACGGCCCCCACCCCCGCGAGCGGCCGUGGGGAGCUCCGGUGACCCAGCAGCUUAGCUGCCUGUCUCGGCCUCGGGCCCCGGCCGCACGGGGACCAGCCCUCCAUUCGCGAGCGGAUGCCCGCUGGGCGCCGAAUGUGCGGGGUGUGGGCAGUCAGGGGAGCCGAGGCAGCUCGCCCGCUGCCGGGGUCCUCGCUUCAAAACGAGGCCGCCAACCCCCGGCUGGUCCAGUUCCUUCUCAAUGCCGACUUCCUGCCCCUCUUUCCACCGCAGACCGCUUCCGACCCUUAAGUUACCCAGCAGCCUGGCAGCCGCCUGUAUGUGGGUCUUGGGCCAGGAUCCUGUGCUCACCAGUCCUGGCUCCCAUUACACAAUUCCACACCUGCGGGCAGCCGGGAGAAUGAAAGGGGUCCAAAGGUGACGAGCACUUUGAGCUUUGCAGAUGCCCAGGGAACCAUCCCAGGUGGGACUGAGCCCCAUCUCUGAUGGUGGCCCCUGAGUGCUCUCACCCAAUCAGCGUGUGGUCUCCCCGCCCCACCUCCUGGACUUGUGACCUGAGACGGUGGGUCAAAGCAAAGCCCAGGAUUUCGGAUGAAGAUAGA